rnacentral:rRNA from 1 species
AUACGAAGGGGGCUAGCGUUGCUCGGAAUUACUGGGCGUAAAGGGCGCGUAGGCGGACAGUUAAGUUGGGGGUGAAAGCCCGGGGCUCAACCUCGGAAUUGCCUUCAAUACUGGCUGUCUUGAGUACGGGAGAGGUGAGUGGAACUCCGAGUGUAGAGGUGAAAUUCGUAGAUAUUCGGAAGAACACCAGUGGCGAAGGCGACUCACUGGCCCGUUACUGACGCUGAGGCGCGAAAGCGUGGGGAGC